AACAGGAUCCAGAACUCCACUGUCGAUAUCAAUGAGCUCCAGCUGGUGGUGCCAAGCCGGGAGAAUGAAAACAACAACCACUCUGUGAGCCGGGAGCAGGCGGUCACUUCCUGCAGAGGCAGCACAGAACGGUCUCCUCAGGACACUGACCCAGAUGUGCCCUCCUCCAUCUCUGCAGUGACCACUGAGACUGGGAGUGAUGAAGUGUUUAUCAUUUCUGCUGGCCCUGGGACCAGUGGGCUGAGCUUUACCACCUACAGGAUACAGGACAAAAACCUGAAAAGGAGUGUCACCAGCCCGGCCUCUGUGUCCGACUGGCUGAGCUCGCAGCCCACGGCUGCAGGGGCAGAGGCUGCCGAGAAGGGGAACGUGCAGCUGGAGAAUCCCUGUCCCAGGCAGCGCACCUGGAGCGCCCGCACCUUCCACGACUUCCUGGCCCCGAUACCACAGCUACAGAAA